rnacentral:ncRNA from 2 species
UUGAAUACUUAGCUCCGAUCUGCAAAUCCUAAGGGGAACUAUGGUUUGCAGACGAUAGGUCUAUCUGAAAACGGGUACACCUCCCAGUAGGAAAGGAGAUAAUGGUUGAUUCUA